AAGCUUUCGGGCCCAUACCCCAAACAUGUUGGUUAAACCCCCUCCUUUACUA
rnacentral:tRNA from 1 species